ACGCUGGCGGCGCACAUAAGACAUGCAAGUCGAACGAACUUAAUUGAGAGCUUGCUCUCAAAGCGGUUAGUGGCGGACUGGUGAGUAACACGUAAGCAACAUGCCUAUUAGAGGGGAAUAACAGCGAGAAAUCGUUGCUAAUACCGCAUAUGCUGUGAGUAUCGCAUGAUACAAGCAGGAAAGGAGUAAUCCGCUAAUAGAUGGGCUUGCGUCUGAUUAGUUAGUUGGUGGGGUAACGGCCUACCAAGACGAUGAUCAGUAGCCGGACUGAGAGGUUGAACGGCCACAUUGGGACUGAGAUACGGCCCAGACUCCUACGGGAGGCAGCAGUCGGGAAUAUUGCGCAAUGGAGGAAACUCUGACGCAGUGACGCCGCGUGCAGGAAGAAGGUUUUCGGAUUGUAAACUGCUUUUAACAGGAAAGAAAAAAAUGACGGUACCUGUUGAAUAAGCUCCGGCUAACUACGUGCCAGCAGCCGCGGUAAUACGUAGGGAGCGAGCGUUAUCCGGAUUUAUUGGGUGUAAAGGGUGCGUAGACGGAAAUGCAAGUUAGUUGUGAAAUACCUCGGCUUAACUGAGGAACUGCAACUAAAACUAUAUUUCUUGAGUAUCGGAGGGGUUUGUGGAAUUCCUAGUGUAGCGGUGAAAUGCGUAGAUAUUAGGAAGAACACCGGUGGCGAAGGCGACAAACUGGACGAUAACUGACGUUGAGGCACGAAAGUGUGGGGAGCAAACAGGAUUAGAUACCCUGGUAGUCCACACCGUAAACGAUGGAUACUAGGUGUUGGCAAUGAAUAAUUGUCGGUGCCGGCGCUAACGCAAUAAGUAUCCCACCUGGGGAGUACGACCGCAAGGUUGAAACUCAAAGGAAUUGACGGGGGCCCGCACAAGCAGUGGA
rnacentral:rRNA from 1 species